rnacentral:rRNA from 1 species
UACAGAGGUCUCAAGCGUUGUUCGGAUUCAUUGGCGUAAAGGGUGUGUAGGUGGCGCGCUAAGUCGGGUGUGAAAUUCGGAGCUUAACUCCGAAACUGCAUCGAUACUGGCGUGCUUGAGGACUGGAGAGGAGACUGGAAUCAUGGUGUAGCAGUGAAAUGCGUAGAGAUCAUGAGGAAGACCAGUGGCGAAGGCGGGUCUCUGGACAGUUCCUGACGCUGAGGCACGAAGGUCAGGGGGGAGCAAACGGG